rnacentral:misc_RNA from 1 species
GGACCCUUCCUCUUUGGAAAAAGCACAUGAGGAAGUAGACAGAGUUUUGGGAGGACGCUCUCCGACUUAUGAAGAUAUGAAGAAUCUCAAGUUCUUAACACGGUGCAUAACUGAGUCACUCAGACUCUAUCCACAUCCACCUGUCCUGAUAAGACGAGCUCAAGUAGCUGAUGUCCUCCCCGGGAAUUACAAAGUCAAUGUUGGUCAGGAUAUAAUGAUUUCGGUAUAUAACAUUCAUCAUUCUUCAGAGGUAUGGGAUAGAGCUGAAGAAUUUGAUCCUGAAAGAUUCGACUUGGAAGGUCCCGUCCCAAAUGAAACAAAUACUGACUUUAGAUUCAUCCCGUUUAGUGGAGGGCCACGAAAAUGCGUUGGUGAUCAAUUUGCCUUGUUGGAAGCUACAAUUGCUCUCGCAAUAUUUGUACAGAACUUCUCAUUCGAGUUGAUUCCAGAUCAAACUAUUAGCAUGACUACUGGAGCAACC